rnacentral:miRNA from 14 species
UGUGUUGUUAUAAUUGUGUAUUGCAUGAGCAUGUGUGUCAUCACACAUACACACAUACACACACACACACACACACACACACACACACACAAAU